rnacentral:rRNA from 1 species
CAGACCUGUAAAGCGGCGGACUGGUGAGUAACGCGUGGGUGACCUACCUUGAGGGCGGGGAUAGCUGUUAGAAAUAGCAGGUAAUACCGGAUACGAUGGAGUAGUCUAUGACUAUUUCAGGAAAGGCGCUUUGGCGCCGCCUUAAGAUGGGCCCGCGUCCCAUUAGCUAGUUGGAGGUGUAAAAGACCCCCAAGGCGAAGAUGGGUAGCCGGCCCGAGAGGGUGAACGGCACACUGAGACUGAGAUACGGACCAGACAUCCUACGGGAGGCAGACAGCUAAAGAAUAUUCCGAAAUGGACGAAAGUCUGACGGAGCGACGCCGCAGUGGAUCGAGGAAGGCCGAAAGGUUGUAAAAUCCUUUUGCAGACGAAGAAUAAGUGUGGAUAGGGAAUGACCGCAUGAUGACGUUAAAGUCUGCGAAUAAGCACCCCGAGCUUA